rnacentral:rRNA from 1 species
UACGUAGGGUGCAAGCGUUGUCCGGAAUUAUUGGGCGUAAAGAGCUCGUAGGCGGUUCGUCGCGUCGGCUGUGAAAACCCGGAGCUCAACUCCGGGCCUGCAGUCGAUACGGGCGGACUUGAGUGUUGCAGGGGAGACUGGAAUUCCUGGUGUAGCGGUGAAAUGCGCAGAUAUCAGGGAGGAACACCGGUGGCGGAAGGCGGGUCUCUGGGCAACUACUGACGCUGAGGAGCGAAAGGCGUGGGGAG